UCAUAAUUUCAUUAGGGGGUGGCGAUAAAAUGAAAAAGAUGGCGAUAAAUAAGAAUUGGGUAUAAUAAUCUCUUAUAAAGCUUGCUAACAACUCGUUGACACGAAAUAAGCCACAUAAUGAAGAAUUUCAACCAACUUUUAAAAAUCAACCAAUCACAUCAAAUCAACUUCGAUUAAUCAAAACCAAACACAUGUUAGUAAUCUAAUUGGUAAAUGUUUUUUUUUUUUCCGAGUUGCACUAUACUCCCUCCUAUUCAUCUUAAGUCUCUCAUUUAAAUCGAGUUAUUCAAUCUUUACAUCAAAACGAAUCAAAUAAAAUCCCACAUGACUAUGUUUUAACUUAUAGAUUAAUAAUAAAAUGCAAUUUAAGAGUGAUAAAUGAACAGUGUCCCUAAGCUGAAUAGGAGGGAGUAUUAUUUAAUUAUAUGAAAACUUUUUGAGUCAUGAGUUAUAAGAACUAAAAUAAUAGGGACCCACGUAGUAGUACAUAAAUCCCAACUAUUCAAAGUGUAAAUCAAAAAAAUCAAUCAAUCUUUUUGAAAAAAGAGGAGGUAAUUAACUAAAUAUGUAUCAAGAUCAGCCACCCCCUCCUGAAAAAAUCACUUAUGUUGAGCAUGUUAAGAGACGCCAUGAAGAGAAGGGAUGCCUUUAUGCAUGUUGUUUUGCAUUGUGCUGCUGCUUCUGCUGCUACGAAACCUGCGAGUGCAUCUUUGAUAUUCUCUGCUGUUGCUUCUGAGCAGAAGCUUUAAUCAAGUGCAAAACAGGAUCAUGUCUGUAUUUGACACUAUACAGUAUACUCUAUUGUGAAUGCAUUUUGUUAUAUCAUUAAGAUGGUUGUGUUAUUGUGUAUCAUAA